rnacentral:rRNA from 1 species
GAUGAACGCUGGCGGCGUGCCUAAUACAUGCAAGUCGAGCGAACAGACGAGGAGCUUGCUCCUCUGACGUUAGCGGCGGACGGGUGAGUAACACGUGGAUAACCUACCUAUAAGACUGGGAUAACUUCGGGAAACCGGAGCUAAUACCGGAUAAUAUAUUGAACCGCAUGGUUCAAUAGUGAAAGACGGUUUUGCUGUCACUUAUAGAUGGAUCCGCGCCGCAUUAGCUAGUUGGUAAGGUAACGGCUUACCAAGGCAACGAUGCGUAGCCGACCUGAGAGGGUGUUCGGCCACACUGGAACUGAGACACGGUCCCGACUCCUGCGGGAGGCAGCAGUAGGGAAUCUUCCGCAAUGGGCGAAAGCUUGACGGAGCAACGCCGCGUGAGUGAUGAAGGUCUUCGGAUCGUAAAACUCUGUUAUUAGGGAAGAACAAAUGUGUAAGUAACUAUGCACGUCUUGACGGUACCUAAUCAGAAAGCCACGGCUAACUACGUG